rnacentral:rRNA from 1 species
UACGUAGGGUGCGAGCGUUGUCCGGAAUUAUUGGGCGUAAAGAGCUUGUAGGCGGUUUGUCGCGUCUGCCGUGAAAAAUUCGAGGCUCAACCUCGAACUUGCGGUGGGUACGGGCAGACUAGAGUGUGGUAGGGGAGACUGGAAUUCCUGGUGUAGCGGUGAAAUGCGCAGAUAUCAGGAGGAACACCGAUGGCGAAGGCAGGUCUCUGGGCCAACUACUGACGCUGAGAAGCGAAAGCAUGGGGGAGCGAACAGG